rnacentral:lncRNA from 1 species
CUUUUAGUUGUCACAUUGUUAAGUGUAAAGAAAUAGACCAGGUGCUCUGAUGCAAGCUAAAGGUGAGAAAACAAAAGAAGGGGGGUUGAAUUGUGUUGGUUUUUUCAGAAAAUAUUUUCAAAGUGUUUUAACAAUACUAAGGAGUAAAGAGAUUUAGAGGAUCAGAGAGAGAGAAGACAACACAAGCAAUUAUACUAGUUCACCCGACAAACAGAGGUGAUCCAGAGUAGUAGCUGAUAGUUGCUGUUAUUUGCUGUUGUGAGUGGAUUUACCUCACGUGUGUCUUAGGAGCUCUGAUACGUAACGGGAGGAGGAUAAUUU